UUCAGAAAGGGAGAGGGGCGUGACCAGGGAGCAAUAAACUCGACACUAUCUAUGCUUGAUGAAGGAGAUGUAUGACUGAGGUAAGUAAAAAGAACCCCUUGCUACCUUAGAAAUCAACUUGCCCAGGAUGACUGUACAAAAGAGACCAUGGGACAGCAAGGAGGAGAGAUAUUCCGUCAAGAGGAAAAGAAAAGCAAUAAAAGUAGGGGGAAACAUGACCAG
rnacentral:lncRNA from 10 species